rnacentral:rRNA from 1 species
UACGGAGGGUGCAAGCGUUAUCCGGAUUUACUGGGUUUAAAGGGUGCGUAGGUGGGCAGGUAAGUCAGUGGUGAAAUCUCCGAGCUUAACUCGGAAACUGCCAUUGAUACUAUCUGUCUUGAAUAUCCUGGAGGUGAGCGGAAUAUGUCAUGUAGCGGUGAAAUGCUUAGAUAUGACAUAGAACACCAAUUGCGAAGGCAGCUCACUACGGGAUAAUUGACGCUGAGGCACGAAAGCGUGGGGAUCAAACAGGA